CCCUUAGAUGUUCUGGGCCGCACGCGCGCUACACUGACGAAUGCAACGAGCUUAUAACCCUGGCCGAAAGGUCUGGGUAAUCUCCAAAUUUCGUCGUGAUGGGGAUAGAUUAUUGCAAUUAUUAAUCUUCAACGAGGAAUGCCUAGUAAGCGCAAGUCAUCAGCUUGCGUUGAUUACGUCCCUGCCCUUUGUACACACCGCCCGUCGCUCCUACCGAUUGAAUGGUCCGGUGAAGCGUUCGGACCGUGGCCUUUGGACGGUUCGCCGUCUGUUGGCUGCGGGAAGUUCGUUAAACCUUAUCAUUUAGAGGAAGGAGAANUCGUAACA
rnacentral:rRNA from 1 species